rnacentral:rRNA from 1 species
GUGCCAGCCGCCGCGGUAAGACGGAGGGUGCAAACGUUGUUCGGAAUUACUGGGCGUAAAGCGCGUGUAGGCGGUCCGAAAAGUCGGAUGUGAAAUCCCUCGGCUCAACCGAGUGAAUUGCAUUCGAUACUGCCGGACUGGAGUUCGGGAGAGGGACGUGGAAUUCCCGGUGUAGAGGUGAAAUUCGUAGAUAUCGGGAGGAACACCGGUGGCGAAGGCGGCGUCCUGGACCGAUACUGACGCUGAGACGCGAAAGCGUGGGGAGCAAACAGGAUUAGAAACCCCAGUAGUCC